AUCCAGCUGAUGAGUCCCAAAUAGGACGAAACCUGCGGCCUGGAU
rnacentral:hammerhead_ribozyme from 1 species